GACGAACGCUGGCGGCAUGCCUAACACAUGCAAGUCGAACGGACUUUGUUGGAGGAAGUUUUCGGAUGGAAUUCAACAAGGUUAGUGGCGGACGGGUGAGUAACGCGUGGGUAACCUGCCCAUAAGACUGGGAUAACUUCGGGAAACCGGAGCUAAUACUGGAUACCUUCUUAGAACCGCAUGGAAUUAAGAAGAAAGAUGGCCUCUCGAAGAAGCUAUCGUUUAUGGAUGGACCCGCGUCUGAUUAGCUAGUUGGUGAGGUAACGGCUCACCAAGGCGACGAUCAGUAGCCGGCCUGAGAGGGUGAACGGCCACACUGGGACUGAGACACGGCCCAGACUCCUACGGGAGGCAGCAGUGGGGAAUCUUCCGCAAUGGGCGAAAGCCUGACGGAGCAAUGCCGCGUGAGUGAAGAAGGCCUUCGGUUGUAAAGCUCUGUCCUAAGGGAAGAAUGUACCUUAUGUGAUAAUGUGAGGUAAUAGACGGUACCUUGGGAGGAAGCCCGGCUAACUACGUGCC
rnacentral:rRNA from 1 species